AGAGAAACAUAAAACAAAGUAUAGAUUCCACCGGCCAAAGCUUUGGAGUAUACGUACGUUAAAUGAACAGGCGACGCUAUAAAAUGAUGGGAUUAGGAAAAGCGAAAUGGGCCUCUCUAUUGCUUUGGCAACCUCUUUUGCUUGUCUCUUAUUAGCAUCCUCAGCUAAAAGAUAGUAACAUGCAGUCGUAUAAAUGACUCAUUC
rnacentral:lncRNA from 1 species